rnacentral:lncRNA from 1 species
AUAUGUUCGUGCCCUUGUGCACCCAGAACCGGCCACACCGCUGAAGGCCAAAGAGGCCACAAAGAAGAAAAAGAAACAGUUUGGGAAGAAAAGGAAAAGAAUCCCGCCCACUAAGACGCGACCCCUCAGACAGGGGUCCAAGAAGCCCCUGCUGGAGGACGACCCUCAGGGUGCCAGGAAGAUCUCGUCGGAGCCUGUUCCUGGCGAGAUCAUUGCUGUGCGUGUGAAGGAAGAGCAUCUAGACGUGGCCUCGCCCGACAAGGCUUCAAGUCCAGAGCUGCCUGUCUCCGUCGAGAACAUCAAGCAGGAAACAGACGACUGAGCCUUCCUGCCUCCAGCCUGGCUUCUAGCUGGAAGCCAGCCCAGCGUUUCUCUACCACCACCACCAUGCCUCCACCUGACUUUGGCUUGGAGACUGAUCCUCUCUGUGUAAAUUCUGCCCGGUGCUGUGAAGGCUGGACGGUGGAGGACCUGCUGGGGUCUCCUGGGACCCGCCUGUUGCUUCUGCCCUCCCCUGUGGAAAGGUCUAUAUGACGGGCCGCCUGAGGCCCCAGAACUCGUCUGUGAACCACCUUUUCCAGCCAGAGUUCCCAAAGCUGGAACGCUAGCUGCCUGCUCUUCCUUAAGAUGGCCUCCCCCCGACCCGCCACGGCCCUCAGUUGCCAGGGAUGGGGCCACCACUGUCACACUGUGGAAUACAAGACAGUGAACUCUGUCUGCCUGAACGAGCCAUGUAAAUUAAGUUCUAGAGCAGCUCUCUGAGCAGGAUAAGGUCCCCUGACAGUGAGUUGUGUGGUGGGGGCAGCCUCUGCCUCAAAAAUUCACCAAGCAGAAUGCCUCUCAGCCUCAUGUGUUGGUCCUCUGCUCCUCCUAGCUCCCCAGGGAUGUUGGGGACCCAGCUUGUCUCGGCAGCUAAGAAGCAGUGACCAGGAUGUGGAUUUUGGCGACCUGUGUGGUGGCCUUGAGCUGCUUUCUGUGUUUGUGAGGACUGACUCCCAUUUCCUAAAGGAAAUGCCCCCGGGGAGGACAUUGGGAGGAAGAUGGCCUGAGUGUGCACUUUGGCUCUGCUACCUGCUCCUGAAGCCCCGCUAAAAAUAAUUCAUCCAAGAUUCCUUUGUAGUUAAAGGGUCCAGUUCUGACUGGAGCCUCUAGAGAGCUGGGCUUGUAUGUUCUUUUGGCCUUUUGUUCCUACCUAAAUGAAGAAACCAUGCCUGGAGGGGCCGUGAACACAGAACCCUCAAGACAAGGAUGACAGAGCUGGAGGACACAUCUAGCUGCCAUUGCAACCUCACUGGGCUCCCCAGACUCUGUGUGUGAGAAAUUAAACCCCCUGCUUGCUUG